rnacentral:lncRNA from 1 species
CUCCCUCUCUCCCUCCCUUCCUACUAAAAACCAAUAAGGCUAGGGAGCCUAUCUGCAUAGUUCUGUGAAUGUCUCGGAACAAAGCAAUACACAGAAGCUAAUGCUCUCAUCCUGUGUAAGAUACAAAUCUUGUCACAUCAUGGACCAUCGUGGAGCAUGAAGCUAUUUCUAAUGUGAUGGGGGAAAUGUUUCUAGCAGAAGAGCAAGACAUGGUCCUGGUGCAUGAAAGGAGCCUAAGAAAGAAGAGUGAAAGCUGCACGUGUUCUACCUCCAGAAAGCCAUAAAAGAGAAAAGAAUGUUGUACCAAACUAAGCAAAUGAAGCAUGAAAUGAAAAGCCGGUUGAGCUGGGAGGUAUAAAGAAUGGAAAGGAAGCAGCUACCACCCCUGGUAACCCCAUCAAUCCGGAGAAGCUUCGCAGAGUUACACUGUGCUCUGUCGGGAAGGAAAUGAAUUUUCCUCAUUGUACACAUUCCGAGAAAAAUGAGGCUAAGACUAUUUCAAAGGAUGUUCUACCUAAUUCGAAUGGGCUUUAAGUGCCAUCUUCACAAUAGCGCCAGAGUCUGGUGUCAGCAAACUGAACAAAUAGAGCUACAGGGAGCGAAUGGGGCUGGGUGCCUCUCCAAAACAUAUGCAGAUGAACUUGAGAUUUCAGAGGACGGUUAAUCCUACACAGCAGUCAAGUGCCUUCCCAGGGGUAUGUCUCAGAUCUCAGAGCAUCCUGGCAGGCAUCCACUGUGCCAUAUGCUUUCGGGAAGUCUGGAUGCUGAAUGUGGUGGCUGUGGGGAAUUGAGCCUUAUUGCUUCAUAAGAUUCCUGGUGGUAGAACUAUUCUGAACAAGAACACGUCCGUCCCCAUAGGUGUGCUCCAAGAAUCACAGAAUAAGAAGGGACUUCGGAGAGAGCCUCACACAGUUGGGCAAUGGGAGCCCAGAGAGGCAAGGAAGGCUCCUUGCCCAAAGUCUUGUACAUCUGAAUCUGCAACUCCUGACUAUUUUUGAGUCUUAUGCUCCAGGCUAAAACUUGUGACUUUAAGUGUGAUGUUCUCGGUGAUGAUUAAUCUAGGAUGUUUCUGUUGUUUUCUUACCGUCAAAGAAUUAACAUCAAAAGGAAAGGAAGGAAGAAAUGUAGAAGUGAAGGCAAGAAGGAAGGAAGGAGGAAAGGAAGGAAGGAAAAUAUAGGCUUUGGGUAAAAAUAAGUUUCUACUCAACACUGACAAAGGUACAGGUUUUGGACAUUGGUUUCCUAAUCUGUAAAUGAGGAAUAGUCAUCACAUCGCUGUCCUGGCUGGUUUUGUGUGUCAACUUGACACAAGCUGGAGUUAUCACAGAGAAAGGAAAGAAAAUGCCUCCAUGAGAUCUAGCUGUAAAUGGAUUAGUGAUCAAGAGUGGGAGGGCCCAGUGUGGGUGGUGCCAUCCCUGGACUGGUGGUCCUGGGUUCUACAAGAAAACAAGCUGAGCAAGCCAGGGGAAGCAAGCCAGGGGAACAUCCCUCCACGGCUCUGCAUCAGCUCCUGCUUCCUGCCCUGUGUGAGUUCCAGUCCUGACUUCCUUUGGUGACGAACAGCAAUGUGAUAGUAUAAGCUGAAUAAACCCUUUCCUCCCCAAC